GACGAACGCUGGCGGCGUGCCUAACACAUGCAAGUCAACUUGACUGAAGGAGCAAUCUGACAGUAGAGUGGCGCAAGGGUGCGUAACGCGUAAGUAACUUGCCCCAAGGUAAGGAAUAACGUCGAGAAAUCGGCGCUAAUACCUCAUAAUGCAGCGGAUCCGCAUGGAUAUGUUGUUAAAGGUUUACCGCCUUGGGAUAGGCUUGCGUCCGAUUAGCUAGUUGGUGUGGUAACGGCACACCAAGGCUACGAUCAGUAACUGGUCUGAGAGGAUGAUCAGUCACACUGGAACUGAGACACGGUCCAGACUCCUACGGGAGGCAGCAGUGAGGAAUAUUGGGCAAUGCUCGAAAGAGUGACCCAGCAACGCCGCGUGGAGGAUGAAAUACUUUGUAUGUAAACUUCUGUAAGAUGGGAAAAAUAUUACUCCUCGGAGAAUUGAUUGUACCAUCAGAGUAAGCCCCGGCUAACUACGUGCCAGCAGCCGCGGUAA
rnacentral:rRNA from 1 species